rnacentral:rRNA from 1 species
CUUGAACGCUGGCGGCAGGCCUAACACAUGCAAGUCGAGCGAGCGGCGGACGGGUGAGUAAUGCCUAGGAAUCUGCAUGGUAGUGGGGGAUAACGUCCGGAAACGGGCGCUAAUACCGCAUACCAUCAGAUGUGCCCAGAUGGGAUGAGCUAGUUGGUGGGGUUACGGCGCACCAAGGCGACGAUCCCUAGCUGGCCCGAGAGGAUGACCAGCCACACGGGAACUGAGACACGGUCCAGACUCCGACGGGAGGCAGCAGGGGGGAAUAUUGCACAAUGGGCGCAAGCCUGAUGCAGCCAUCCCGCGUGUAUGAAGAAGGCCUUCGGGUUGUAAAGUACUUUCAGCGGGGAGGCGUUACCCUCAGAAGAAGCACCGGCUAACUCCGUGCCAGCAGCCGCGGUAAUUC